UGUCCUCUAAAUAGGGACCAGCAUGAACGGCAACAUGAGAAAGUGCCUGUCUCUUUAGGCUAGUCAGUGAAACUGAUCUGCCUGUACAAAAGCAGGCAUAAAAAAACAAGACAAAAAGACCCUGUGAAACUUUAAGUGCCUUUCAACAUUAUGACUGGGCACUUUUCGGUUGGGGCAACCAAUGAGAAACAAACCUCAUAAAAUCACAAGGCACACAAGCCUAAUGAACACUAAAGAUCCAGUACUACUGAUCAAAGGACAAAGCUACUCCAGGGAUAACAGCGCCACAUUCUUUAAGAGUCCAUAUCAACAAGAAUACCUACGACCUCGAUGUUGGAUCAGGGCACCCCGAUGGCGCAGAAGCUAUUGAAGGUUCGUUUGUUCAACGAUUAAAGC
rnacentral:rRNA from 1 species